AGAAUUUGGGGAUUUAACCCCAGAAUUUGGGAUUUAACCGAGGGUUUGGGAUUUAACCUGAGGAUUUGGGAUUUAACCCAGAAUUUGGGAUUUAACCCGAGGGUUUGGGAUUUAACCUGAGGAUAUGGGAUUUAACCCAGAAUUUGGGAUUUAACCCCAGAAUUUGGGAUUUAACCCGCGGGUUUGGGAUUUAACCCAGAAUUUGGGAUUUAACCCAGAAUUUGGGAUUUAACCCGGGAUAGUCCCGGGACGGUUUUGCCCCGCUGGGUCCCGGCGGGAGCCGCAGCCGCCCCCNAAAUUGGGGAAAUUUGGGAAUGGGAGGUUCAGGAAAAAAGAGAGAAUUUGUCCUGCAAAUUGGGGAAAUUUGGGAAUGGGAGGUCCGGGACAGAGCGGGAUCUGCCAGCAGGGGGAGGUGAAGGCUCCGAAUUUAGGGAAUUUCUGGAAUUCCUGAGAGGGGAAUGCAGUGGGAUCAGGGAAUUCAGGAAAUUCGGGAAUUUUUGGAAGGGGAAUGCAGGGGGAUUAGGGAAUUCAGGAAUUUCUGGAAUUCCUGAGAGGGGAAUGCAGUGGAAUCAGGGAAUUUGGGAAUUCCUGAGAGCAGGGAAUGCAGUGGGAUCAGGGAAUUUGGGAAUUCCUAUAGAGAGGAAUACAGGGGGAUCAGGGAAUUCCGGAAAUUUGGGAAUUUCUAUUGAGAGGAAUGCAGUGGGAUCAGGGAAUUCAGGAAUUUCUGGAAUUCCUGAGAGGGGAAUGCAGUGGGAUCAGGAAAUUCGGGAAUUUCUGGAAUUCCUGAAGGGGAAUGCAGUGGGAUCAGGAAAUUCAGGAAUUUCUGGAGAGAGAAAUGCAGUGGGAUCAGGGACAGGGAAUUCCCAGAAUUCCCGGAAUUCCUGCCUGGUUUUUUGGGACAUUUUUGGGAUGGAGCUGUCCCACAGCCCUGGCUGUUCCCGGGCAGGAAUCCAGGAUGGUUUUUGGGGCCAGAAUUGGGGAUUUUGGGGCAAACCCAGGUGCAGGAUGGGGAGCCGGAGCCGUUCCCAUGGGAAUUGCCCCAUUCCAAGGGCUGGGUUUGGAUCAGGUUGGAUUUUCUCCCCCUGGAUCCAGGAAUUCUCUCCCCCUGCCAGAGCAGGGCCCAGCAAACCCCAAAUUCCUGGGAAUUCCUGGGAAUUCUUGGGAAUUCUUGGGGAUUUCUCCUUUUUGUGCCACUCUGGCAGGAAAAAAAAAUUCCAAUCCCGAAUUCCCAACGCUGCAAUUCCCUGGAAUUCUCUGCCUCCACCAUUCCCCGCUCAGGAUAAUCCGGAAUAAUCCAAUUUUUAAAUGCUGAAAAAAACCCCAAAAAAUGAGCGAUCAGUGAUUUCUGUUCCAGGUUUUCCAAAGCCAUUUUUUCCUCCUCAAUAAAUCCUUCAUCGUUCCAGGCCGCUCUUCCA
rnacentral:lncRNA from 1 species